UGUGCAGGCGGGUCGUCAAGUGGUGUAUGAAAACGCCCGGCUUAACCGGGCGAUGGUAGGCCAGACUGACGACCUAGAGGACGAGAGAGGGGCGUGGAAUUCCGGGUGUAGUGGUGAAAUGCGUAGAGAUCCGGAAGAACCCCAGAGGCGAAGGCGGCGCCCUGGCUCGUCCCUGACGCUCAGACACGACAGCAUGGGGAGCGAACGGGAUUAGAAACCCCGGUAGUCCAUGCCGUAAACGAUGCCAACUAGGCGCUGACGGUCUCAACCCCGCCGGUGCCGCAGCUAACGCGUUAAGUUGGCCGCCUGGGGAGUACGGUCGCAAGGCUAAA
rnacentral:rRNA from 1 species